UUCUCUUUAUUAACUCCACAGCAUCUCUGAUUGUCCAGUCGGGAUGGCCACAAUGGGAUGUACCGUGUCUCCGCAGUCCCAGUGCUGCUGCCUCUGCAGAUCCUCAUCUAGAAGCUGGCUGGUGACCACCCUCUGAGCGAGAGAUUACAUUUCCAGCCUAAUGACAAGAGUGGUUUGUUCAGACGCUGCAGUCACCAAACUCUGCCUGCGAUCCGUCACGCUGACCCGCUGCACGCCACGCUCCUGCAACACAGCUCCACAUGGACAAUACCUUGUGUUGGACACCCACCUCCUUCUUGGUCUUUGCUGCUCUCCCAUUCACUGCCUACUUUGGAGAUGUACCCAACCCAUCCCACAAGCCCAAACCCUGAGCAGUGCAUCCCUGCCAGCUGCUGAGCUGCAGCUGGACCCCAAGUGCCACGAAAACAUAUGAUCUCAGCCAUGGCUGGCAAAUAAACAUUACAAGGGGCUGUUUCAAAGCUUUGUAGUAGCAAAUCUCAGCACUUAACUAGUAAUGCAAUAAGUCCUAUCAAGAGCAUGCUGAAAGGUGGAAUAAAUUUCCUGG